rnacentral:rRNA from 1 species
AUGGGGAAACAACAAGACGGCAACGGAGAGACCAAAGAAAAGAAAAACAGAGCAUCAUGGACCACUGCUCAAUUGGACCUUCUAGUUUCUGUGAUGAAAGAGUAUGCAGAUGCUGCUAAAUUUCGUGGUCAGAAUGGAUGGACCAAAGAAGGAUGGAAAAGCAUGGCUACACGCUUGAACAAUCGGUUUUUGAGAGCUAAUUUUAUUGUUGAUCAACUAAAAUUUAGGGAGCAGCGGUUGAAGAAAGAAUAUUUUAUUGUCAAAUCUAUUAUAGAGAAGAGUGACUUCAGUUUUGAUCCUAUUACAAAAAUGCCAACAACCAUGGGAUGA